rnacentral:lncRNA from 1 species
GCAAAGCGCGACGUUUGUGCGCUGUGGUUUUGUUUGAAUCGGUCGUGAAGCUUCCACAUCAUACCGAGAACCUGUCAGCAGUAUGUAGGUGGUUGAGGUGCUGGUAGACUAAGUUAGGCUCCUUCCGUAAGAGCUGUGUUUCCAGGGCCUGCAUAACAAAGCUGACCGUGUGUCCAUCCAGCUGAUUACUGAGGUAGACGGGCAGAGUCUCAGGGGGAACACAGCUCAGCAGCUCAGCGCAGGCUGGGAGGUCGGACUGGGUCCGCGCUGCGUUCAGGGACUGGUUGAACUCGUAGGCGUUCGAGGGCUUGAGGUUGAUGGUUACUGCCUCCUCUCCUCUUCCUCCUCCUCCUCUUCCUCCACAGUGGGUAUCUGGUGGGGCUGGGGUUGAUGUGGAUGUUGUUGAUGUUUCUCCUGUCUCCGAUUCUGCUGCUUUGGUCCUGUCUGGCGCUGCGGCCUGCCGGGCUUCGUCCUCAGUCCCCUCAACCUGACGGUGGACAAGUCGAGAGCUUGUAAACAUCUAGACACCGCUUUAUGGCCCCUAAUUACAUUACCCGUGUCCUUCCCCAUUAUUACAUUACCCGUGUCCUUCCCCAUUAUUACAUUACCCAUGUCCUUCCCCAUUAUUACAUUACCCGUGUCCUUCCCCAUUAUUACAUUACCCGUGUCCUUCCCCAUUAUUACAUUAGCUGUGUCCUUCCCCAUUAUUACAUUAGCUGUGUCCUUCCCCAUUAUUACAUUAGCUGUGUCCUUCCCAUUAUUACAUUAGCUGUGUCCUUCCCCAUUAUUACAUUAGCUGUGUCCUUCCCCAUUAUUACAUUAGCUGUGUCCUUCCCCAUUAUUACAUUAGCUGUGUCCUUCCCCAUUAUUACAUUAGCUGUGUCCUUCUCCAUUAUUACAUUAGCUGUGUCCUUCCCAUUAUUACAUUAGCUGUGUCCUUCUCCAUUAUUACAUUAGCUGUGUCCUUCCCCAUUAUUACAUUAGCUGUGUGCUUCCCCAUUAUUACAUUAGCUGUGUCCUUCCCCAUUAUUACAUUAGCUGUGUCCUUCCCCAUUAUUACAUUACCCGUGUCCUUCCCAUUAUUACAUUAGCUGUGUGCUUCCCCAUUAUUACAUUAGCUGUGUCCUUCUCCAUUAUUACAUUACCCGUGUCCUUACCAUUAUUACAUUAGCUGUGUCCUUCCCCAUUAUUACAUUAGAUGUGUCCUUCCCCAUUAUUACAUUAGCUGUGUCCUUCCCCAUUAUUACAUUAGCUGUGUCCUUCUCCAUUAUUACAUUACCCGUGUCCUUCCCAUUAUUACAUUACCCGUGUCCUUCCCCAUUAUUACAUUAGCUGUGUCGUUCUCCAUUAUUACAUUACCCGUGUCCUUCCCAUUAUUACAUUAGCUGUGUCCUUCCCCAUUAUUACAUUAGAUGUGUCCUUCCCCAUUAUUACAUUAGCUGUGUCCUUCCCCAUUAUUACAUUAUCUGUGUUUCUCCAUUAUUACAUUACCCGUGUCCUUCCCAUUAUUACAUUAGCUGUGUCCUUCCCCAUUAUUACAUUAGAUGUGUCCUUCCCCAUUAUUACAUUAGCUGUGUCCUUCCCAUUAUUACAUUAGCUGUGUCUUUCCCAUUAUUACAUUAUCUGUGUCCUUCUCCAUUAUUACAUUAGCUGUGUCCUUCCCCAUUAUUACAUUAGCUGUGUCCUUCCCCAUUAUUACAUUAGCUGUGUCCUUCCCCAUUAUUACAUUAGCUGUGUCCUUCCCCAUUAUUACAUUAGCUGUGUCCUUCCCCAUUAUUACAUUAUCGGUGUCCUUCCCAUUAUUACAUUAGCUGUGUCCUUCCCCAUUAUUACAUUACCCGUGUCCUUCCCCAUUAUUACAUUAGCUGUGUCCUUCCCAUUAUUACAUUAGCUGUGUCCUUCCCCAUUAUUACAUUAGCUGUGUCCUUCCCCAUUAUUACAUUAGCUGUGUCCUUCCCCAUUAUUACAUUAGCUGUGUCCUUCCCCAUUAUUACAUUAGCUGUGUCCUUCUCCAUUAUUACAUUAGCUGUGUCCUUCCCCAUUAUUACAUUAGCUGUGUCCUUCCCCAUUAUUACAUUAGCUGUGUCCUUCCCCAUUAUUACAUUAGCUGUGUCCUUCCCCAUUAUUACAUUAGCUGUGUCCUUCCCAUUAUUACAUUAGCUGUGUCCUUCCCCAUUAUUACAUUAGCUGUGUCCUUCCCAUUAUUACAUUAUCUGUGUCCUUCCCAUUAUUACAUUAGCUGUGUCCUUCCCAUUAUUACAUUAGCUGUGUCCUUCCCCAUUAUUACAUUAGCUGUGUCCUUCCCCAUUAUUACAUUAGCUGUGUCCUUCUCCAUUAUUACAUUACCCGUGUCCUUCCCAUUAUUACAUUAGCUGUGUCCUUCCCCAUUAUUACAUUAGCUGUGUCCUUCCCCAUUAUUACAUUAGCUGUGUCCUUCCCCAUUAUUACAUUAGCUGUGUCCUUCCCCAUUAUUACAUUAGCUGUGUCCUUCCCCAUUAUUACAUUAGCUGUGUCCUUCCCAUUAUUACAUUAGCUGUGUCCUUCUCCAUUAUUACAUUAGCUGUGUCCUUCCCCAUUAUUACAUUAGCUGUGUCCUUCCUCAUUAUUACAUUAGCUGUGUCCUUCUCCAUUAUUACAUUAGCUGUGUCCUUCCCAUUAUUACAUUAGCUGUGUCCUUCCCCAUUAUUACAUUAGCUGUGUCCUUCCCCAUUAUUACAUUAGCUGUGUCCUUCCCCAUUAUUACAUUAGCUGUGUCCUUCCCCAUUAUUACAUUAGAUGUGUCCUUCCCCAUUAUUACAUUAGCUGUGUCCUUCUCCAUUAUUACAUUAGCUGUGUCCUUCCCAUUAUUACAUUAGCUGUGUCCUUCCUCAUUAUUACAUUAUCUGUGUCCUUCCCCAUUAUUACAUUAGCUGUGUCCUUCCCCAUUAUUACAUUAGCUGUGUCCUUCCCCAUUAUUACAUUAGCUGUGUCUUGCUCCAUUAUUACAUUAGCUGUGUCCUUCCCCAUUAUUACAUUAGCUGUGUCCUUCUCCAUUAUUACAUUAGCUGUGUCCUUCCCCAUUAUUACAUUAGCUUUGUCCUUCCCCAUUAUUACAUUAUCUGUGUCCUUCCCCAUUAUUACAUUAUCUGUGUCCUUCCCAUUAUUACAUUAGCUGUGUCCUUCUCCAUUAUUACAUUAGCUGUGUCCUUCCCCAUUAUUACAUUAGCUGUGUCCUUCCCCAUUAUUACAUUAGCUGUGUCCUUCCCCAUUAUUAAAUUAGCUGUGUCCUUCCCCAUUAUUACAUUAGCUGUGUCCUUCCCCAUUAUUACAUUAGCUGUGUCCUUCCCAUUAUUACAUUAGCUGUGUCCUUCCCCAUUAUUACAUUAGCUGUGUCCUUCCCCAUUAUUACAUUAGCUCCUUCCCCAUUAUUACAUUAGCUGUGUCCUUCCCAAUAUUACAUUAGCUGUGUCCUUCCCCAUUAUUACAUUAUCUGUGUCCUUCCCAUUAUUACAUUAGCUGUGUCCUUCCCAAUAUUACAUUAGCUGUGUCCUUCCCCAUUAUUACAUUAGCCGUGUCCUUCCCCAUUAUUACAUUAGCUGUGUCCUUCUCCAUUAUUACAUUAGCUGUGUCCUUCCCCAUUAUUACAUUAGCUGUGUCCUUCUCCAUUAUUACAUUAGCUGUGUCCUUCCCAUUAUUACAUUAGCUGUGUCGUUCCCCAUUAUUACAUUAGCUGUGUCCUUCCCCAUUAUUACAUUAGCUGUGUCCUUCUCCAUUAUUACAUUAGCUGUGUCCUUCCCCAUUAUUACAUUAGCUGUGUCCUUCCCCAUUAUUACAUUAGCUGUGUCCUUCCCCAUUAUUACAUUAGCUGUGUCCUUCCCAUUAUUACAUUAGCUGUGUCCUUCCCCAUUAUUACAUUAGCUGUGUCCUUCCCCAUUAUUACAUUAGCUGUGUCCUUCCCAAUAUUACAUUAGCUGUGUCCUUCCCCAUUAUUACAUUAGCUGUGUCCUUCCCAAUAUUACAUUAGCUGUGUCCUUCCCCAUUAUUACAUUAGCUGUGUCCUUCCCCAUUAUUACAUUAGCUGUGUCCUUCCCCAUUAUUACAUUAGCUGUGUCCUUCCCCAAUAUUACAUUAGCUGUGUCCUUCCCCAUUAUUACAUUAGCUGUGUCCUUCCCCAAUAUUACAUUAGCUGUGUCCUUCCCCAUUAUUACAUUAGCUGUGUCCUUCCCAAUAUUACAUUAGCUGUGUCCUUCCCCAUUAUUACAUUUCUUUCUCACAUAAUUUAAUUUUUUCCUGACUCAGCUUUCAUUGUGUUUUUUUACUUGGCCGUUGUUGAAUGUCAUUUCUGUAUAGCACUUUGCACUGUAACUAUGUCUGGGUCGAGAGAACUGGCCCAAGGUGUAGAACAAGUGUUGGCUACGGUACCUCAGUGAUGGGUCCAGUCCUCCUCCUGUGAUGGUAUGGUAGCAUAGUGUAUAUAUUAAUGUGUAGUAUAGUGUAUAUAUUAAUGUGUAGCAUAGUGUAUAUAUUAAUGUGUAGUAUAGUGUAUAUAUUAAUGUGUAGUAUAGUGUAUAUAUAUUAAUGUGUAGUAUAUAUUAUACCUCAGUGUAGUAUAUAUUAUACCUCAGUGAUGGGUAUGGUCAGGGGCGGAAAUCCCGGGGGGGACACGACCCCCCCAUCCUGGGAAAAAUAUGAUUUGUCCCCCCCAAUAUAUCACUGAAACAUAACUAUGUAAUUUAAAUAAUAUUAAUAAUACGCAAUGAAAGCAAUUGUGCUGAUUAUAGACACUUAAUAGCUCGUUUUUAAGUUUCAAAAGAUUGCAACACCCCCCACCCUUUGCCUCACAAUGGUUUGAUCCACUGCCAGUUCCUUAGUUGGCAAGGUAACAGAGGGGUCGUGUCUACUGUCUGAAAGGCACUCAAUGCACGUAACUGACGUGAGGUUAAUCCAGUCAAUCGCGCACACACACUAGCUGAAUAUGCAGAGCUAGCGCGCAAAUAUUAACUAUUAAGCUAGCUAGUCCCUAUUCCAUUUAUGUGGCCUCGUCAAAGAUGGAAUCUUUGCUAUCGUCAAUUUAUUCCAAGAUCAGCAUGCAGAUGAUGUAAGUUAGUGCUUCAAAGUCCCUGUGAUAAGGUUAGCGAUAAACUGGAGUCCAAACUGAAC